rnacentral:lncRNA from 1 species
AUGGAGAAAUGAUUGAGCUUGAUCCUUGCCUUCUCUAGUAGCUCAGCUUCUAGCUGGGGAAUAAGAUAGAAACACAAAUAGCCCUAAUCCCAAGGAGAAAGAGACCUAAUGUUUCUUCAAGUGAUUUUCCCAAAACCAUCCUGUCUAUGGUACACAAACUCCUGGAACAAUGAGUCAGUGCUCUCUGGCAGUCAAUGGCUAAGAGCUCUAGUUGGGGCUCAACUCUACCUCCCUGCAUGACCUUGAACAAGCUUCCCUCUCUAGGAUGACAUCUUUGUGCAAACCAAAUUAGUAAUGAAAGAGCAGGGUCUGGGCUUAUAGGCAAGGAGGAGCUGAGAGAAAGCUCUUAAGAGAAGGAGUUUAAAAUGAGGGGCAGUUUUUUGGCAUUGGAAGUAAAUAUUAAUGCUAACAAUAAUCACCAGCUAUGCUUGAGGUACCUCCAAACCCAUUCCAUACAAUAUUUCAUUUGGUAAGUGUUUUUAACCCCAUUUUAAAAAUGGUGCCCUUGAAGCUCAAAGAGGAGACAUGAACUGCUUUGUGGGUGUUGCCGCAGGGAAAGUCAGCUCAUCGCCAGAAUUGCAAAGAAAAGCAAAAAAAGUGAAUUCUUUUUAAAAAAAAUUUAGUUACUUUCUUUCUCUUUUUUCCUUUUUAAAUUUAUUUAAAAUUUUUCCCUUUAUUUUUAUUUUUUGACUUUUUUAUUAUUUUAUUUUUAUACUAUAUUUUACGUGGUACGAUCCCUACUGAAAAAAAAAGCAAAUUCUCAUUUUUUGAGUCUAAAGUCUGGGGUCAAAGUCUAAUGAGGGGAUUUUAUGGGAUUUCUUUGGAGGAUAAUUGUAAUAACAAGCACUUUAAUCUUAGAUGCUGUGUUUAAAAAGGAAUAGC